rnacentral:rRNA from 1 species
GACGAACGCUGGCGGCGUGCUUAACACAUGCAAGUCGAACGGAAAGGCCCUGCUUUUGUGGGGUGCUCGAGUGGCGAACGGGUGAGUAACACGGGAGUAACCUGCCCUUGACUUUGGGAUAACUUCAGGAAACUGGGGCUAAUACCGGAUAGGAGCUCCUGCUGCAGGGGGGGGGUGGGAAAGGUUCGGCGGUUGGGGAUGGACUGGCGGCUUAUCAGCUUGUUGGGGGGGUAGUGGCUUACCAAGGCUUUGACGGGUAGCCGGCCUGAGAGGGUGACCGGCCACAUUGGGACUGCGGUACGGACCAGACUCCUACGGGCGGCAGCAGUCGGGAAUCUUGCACAAUGGGCGGAAGCCUGAUGCAGCAACGCCGCGUGCGGGAUGACGGCCUUCGAGUUGUAAACCGCUUUCGCCUGUGACGAAGCGUGAGUGACGGUAAUGGGUAAAGAAGCACCGGCUAACUACGUG